AACGAACGCUGGCGGCAUGCCUAACACAUGCAAGUCGAACGAGACCUUCGGGUCUGGUGGCGCACGGGUGCGUAACGCGUGGGAACCUGCCCUUAGGUUCGGAAUAACUCCCCGAAAGGGGUGCUAAUACCGGAUAAUGUCUUCGAACCAAAGAUUUAUCGCCUUUGGAUGGGCCCGCGUUGGAUUAGCUAGUUGGUAGGGUAAAAGCCUACCAAGGCGACGAUCCAUAGCUGGUCUGAGAGGAUGAUCAGCCACACUGGGACUGAGACACGGCCCAGACUCCUACGGGAGGCAGCAGUGGGGAAUAUUGGACAAUGGGCGAAAGCCUGAUCCAGCAAUGCCGCGUGAGUGAUGAAGGCCUUAGGGUUGUAAAGCUCUUUUACCCGGGAUGAUAAUGACAGUACCGGGAGAAUAAGCUCCGGCUAACUCCGUG
rnacentral:rRNA from 1 species